AACUUGGGUCAUUAUUAUUGACAAUAUACAACUAUUUUUACAUCUUUUAAUUAUCUCAAUUGACUUGCAAUGAUCCCUUCAUUUCUGUGUUUGACAUGUUUUAUCACUUUUGCUUCUUUCUAUCUAAUAUCUAUGUUGUACUCUAAUGCUCUUAACACCAAGUGCAAGUAUUAGUUUCACCCUUUUUGAUAUUUUUCUUGUGUUCUUUUACUCUGUCUUCUGUGAGGGACUGGAGUUCGGGUUGGGAACGGCACAUCUCUCCACACCUCCCAACUUUGUUUUGUUUGGAGAAUCAGAAAGAGGAAUUUGGAGGAGAGAAAGAGAUGCACAAAAAAAAGAUUAUAGGUGAUAAUAAAUUAUAUAAACCAAUCCUGGACUCUUAUUCCCAAUAUAAUUAAAUCAAGUCACAACUAUAACACAGGUAUCACAUUAGGAGAAAUGUUUUAAAUAUCGAUCUCAUUUUUUGCCAAUGGAGAUGGAAGGUCGAGUCAUUGGAACCAGUAUAAAUACACACAUGAGAAUUAUUUAGCAGUCAGUAAAUAGGUGAUAACGAGAGGGGAGAGACUGACACAAGAGCAAGAAUGAUAACUGGGAACAAAGACAGAAGCAAAACCAAAUGGGGACAAGUGAAUAAAGCAAUUAAAAAAAGAGAAUUAUGUAAUUAAAGAAGUUCAAGAGAAUGUGGUGUUUCAGCCAAAGAAGCUCAUCAUGGACUUUACAAUUUAUCUUCUAUAUUUCUUCUUUUGCCUGAUCUGGUGUCAUCUUCUAGCAAGCUCCCUCACCCAUUUCUCCUAUUGAAAGAUUGUUCCAACUCUAACUAUGCCAGCCUCUGACUGUAUUAUCCUCCAUGGAGAACUGACACCUGAAAUGGACUUGAAUUCAGAUUAUUUGGAUACUCCUUUUCUUCAGGUAUUUAACAAAAUGUCAAGCUCUAUGUUGUACACUUGUAGAUUUAUGUAAAGAAUUCUCUCUG
rnacentral:lncRNA from 1 species